rnacentral:rRNA from 1 species
UACGGGGGGGGCAAGCGUUGUUCGGAAUUACUGGGCGUAAAGGGCUCGUAGGUGGCCAACUAAGUCAGACGUGAAAUCCCUCGGCUUAACCGGGGAACUGCGUCUGAUACUGGAUGGCUUGAGUUCGGGAGAGGGAUGCGGAAUUCCAGGUGUAGCGGUGAAAUGCGUAGAUAUCGGGAGGAACACCAGUGGCGAAGGCGACUACCUGGCCUGUUCUUGACGCUGAGGCGCGAAGGCGUGGGGAGCGAACGGG